rnacentral:tRNA from 1 species
AAUGAAGUGUCUGAAUAAAGAGUUAUUUUGAUAGGAUAAAAAAUGUGAUCAUACCACCUUCAUUA